UACGGAGACUGCAAGCGUUAUUCGGAUUCACUGGGCGUAAAGGGUGCGCAGGCGGCCGGGUGUGUCAGAUGUGAAAUCCCGAGGCUUAACCUCGGAACUGCGUCUGAAACUACUCGGCUAGAGUAUUGGAGAGGGUAACGGAAUUCACGGUGUAGCAGUGAAAUGCGUAGAUAUCGUGAGGAACACCAGAGGCGAAGGCGGUUACCUGGACAAUUACUGACGCUCAGGCACGAAAGCAUGGGGAGCAAACAGG
rnacentral:rRNA from 1 species